rnacentral:lncRNA from 1 species
AGCGAAGUCGUGCCAUUGUCGUUUAAAUUCUUGACGAUAUUACCCUGCGGAAUGCUCGUCCACGUCAAUCUAUUGUCGACAGCGACUGUGACACGGUUCUUCGUCCCGUAAAUCAGUCGCGAUGUGACCUCAGCUUCAAAAGAUUUCCGUGUUUACCACUUGAGCGAGAUAAUUUACGGAGCCAAAGUACAGGAAAACUCGUUGAUCCGCCCACGAAGGUGGUACGAAGAAAGUUCUCUCGUACCAAACGAUGCCGACGUGAUCCCGGAGGGCUCGAGAAGUCGUCACAUCGUUGUACGACGAAGGGACCGGCAUUUGCAUCACUUCCGGCGACUGUAACCCAAAAACUCGUCAUUCCCGGUUUCUUUUCUAACGAUAUUAUUUAUCCAACGUUUUUUACCUUCGACAGAGCUUCCUGGUACCAAAACUCUCGAUGACCCUUGAAGGAGUCGCCAGACGGAGAAACAACAAAGUCCCAGAGCCCGUCGAGGGUUUUCACCUGUCGAACGACCAAAGUGUUCACCAUCGAAGGCCGGAAUUAACGGAAAAAAGGAAAAAGUCUGUACUCGCCUCUCGAGACUCGCUUUCGCGAGGAUACAAAAGACCUGGCAAAGGAGGUGGAGGUUUCGGCACGACGGCAGGCGAAACCCUGACCAGGAUCGUUUCUUCCCCCGUUCGAGUUUCGUCGCCGAUGAUCUCAAGAGCUUCGGCCGUCCCGACGAAAAUUUCUACCGUUUCGUUGGAGUUUCUCCGACGAAUUUGCGGCUCGUCGAUCUUCCCUUGGACCACAUUCCCACCCAGAAAAAUGAGGAAGAAGACAGGAAAAGCGAGCUCCGGAGACAUCGCGUUAAUUUUCAUCUCUCCGUUCGAAAAGUCAAUCCUCCGAGUGAAGAAAAGCUCCAACGAGAGAUUCAGUACCGACCGAGUAACGGUCCGAGUCCCAGUAUAUUUUAUAUUCUAACGAGCCACCGAUAUUUCGGACAAUAAAGCGUCGAAGUUCAUGCCACGUGAUGCAAAACCAUAACCGAAGUUAAUUUCGUCCAGGAAGUUAAAAAUCGAUAAAAAACUGAAAGUUUACUCUCACGGAUGUUGCUAAGGGAGAGCCCUUCGAUCCGCGGCGAUAUCGUGCGUUGAUCGAGAGGCCAAAGAACCAAGAAAAUUAUAAAAAGUGGCCCCCCGAGGAUCUGAGGCUUUUUCUUCUUCGCGCAGAAGAUGCUCGCGCGUCGAGAGCCUCGGAACGACUAAAACUGCGGGACGUUGGUCGAGGACGUAACACCUAUUCGUUCCGACAAUGACAAGCUCGUACUCGUUUCACUCGGUUCUCGUUGACCACCGAGAGCGUUUGUUGCGAUAACAAAAAUGAAAUAGAAACACCUCAAGAGAUAAAUGUUUAUUUGUAAUCUGUUAUGAGCUCACUUAUCUGAUGAAAUUCUUUGAUUACACAGGGAGCAAUAACAUCGGACCUCUCAGCUAGCCGAGUAAAAAAUUUAUCGUUGUUUUAUGUCAUGUGUGUCGAGUGUGUUUAUGAUAAAUCGUGUACAGUCGCGAUAUCAAGCGUGCCAACGACCUUCCACACGAUCGGUUUACGAUUGCGUACGGGGCGCAUCGAUCGUAAAGCAGGCAAUGACUACGUUAUUUACGGAAUUGGGGCGAUCCGGUGCUCAUCGAGGCGGAUUUAUCCUGCAAUCUUCAUUUAAUCUUUGUACUAUUACGAAAGAGGUACAAUGAAAUAAAACGAUGAAACAAAAUGA